UAUCUUUAAACAGUCCCGUCUAUCAAAAAGAAUGUUUAUCUUAUCCCUCGGAAUCCUCUCCAGUAACCUUUCUACCAUUGAUGUUAGGCUCACUAGUCCAAAGUUCCCAGGCUUUUCCUUAAAGCCCUUCUUAAUAGAAGCACAACAUUAGCCACCUUCCAGCAUUUCUGCACCAUAUCCGAGUCUAAUAACGAGUUGUACAUUUCACCCAGCUCUCCUGCAAUUUCUUCUCUCGCCU